rnacentral:rRNA from 1 species
UUCCGGUUGAUCCCGCCGGACCCCACUGCUAUCGAGGUGGGACUAAGCCAUGCUAGUUGAGCGCACAGAACUAUGUCUGUGAGCGGCACACUGCUCAGUAACACGUAGCUAACCUACCCUUAGGACGUGGACAACCCCGAGAAAUUGGGGCUAAUCCGCGAUAGAUGUAUUGUCCUGGAAUGGUAUUACGUCUAAAGGUAUCCCAUACAUGUUUGGUAUACGCCUAAGGAUGGGGCUGCGGCCGAUCAGGCUGUUGGUGAGGUAAUGGCUCACCAAACCUUUGACCGGUACGGGCCAUGAGAGUGGUAGCCCGGAGAUGGACACUGAGACAAGGGUCCAGGCCCUACGGGGCGCAGCAGGCGCGAAACCUCCUCAAUGCACUUACGUGCGAAGGGGCUACCUCGAGUGCCACCUGAUGAAGGUGGCUUUUCCUAGGUCUAAAAAGCCUUGGGAAUAAGAGGGGGGCAAGACUGGUGUCAGCCGCCGCGGUAACACCAGCCCCUCGAGUGGUGGGGAUGAUUAUUGGGCCUAAAGCGUCCGUAGCCUGCCGUAUAAGUUUCCCGUUAAAUCCAGCGUCUCAAGCGUUGGACUGCGGGAAAUACUGUACGGCUAGAGAGUGGGAGAGGUCAGCGGUAUUCUGGGGGUAGGGGCGAAAUCCUUUGAUCCCCGGAGGACCACCAGUGGCGAAGGCUGCUGACUAGAACACGUCUGACGGUCAGGGACGAAAGCUGGGGUAGCGAACCGGAUUAGAUACCCGGGUAGUCCCAGCCGUAAACGAUGCAUGCUAGGUGUUGGGUUGGCCACGAGCCACCCCAGUGCCGCAGGGAAGCCGUUAAGCAUGCCGCCUGGGAAGUACGAUCGCAAGGUUGAAACUUAAAGGAAUUGGCGGGGGAGCACCACCAGGCGUGAAGCCUGCGGUUUAAUUGGAGUCAACGCCGGG